rnacentral:rRNA from 1 species
CCCUUUCCAGUAUUGAGUAAUUCUAUAUUUAUAGUAGAAAUUAUUAUGUUAAAACUAGUAACAAGAAGAAGAACUUCUCUUAAAUGCAAGUGUAAAUCAGAAAGGACACCCCCACUGAUAAUUAUUCACUCAUGAGCACAAAGUAGCAACUUAACAAGAAAACCCUACUUGUCCUGAUGUUCCUAACACAAGAGCAUCUCAAGAAAGAUUAAAAGAAAAAGAAGGAAUUCGGCAAAUAUUAACCUCGCCUGUUUACCAAAAACAUCGCCUCUUGACAAACUAUAAGAGGUCCAGCCUGCCCCAGUGACGUCUGUUCAACGGCCGCGGUAUCCUAACCGUGCGAAGGUAGCGUAAUCACUUGUUCUUUAAAUGAGGAUAGUAUGAAUGGCACCACGAAGGUUAUACUGUCUCUUUUCUAAUCAGUAAAACUAAUCUUCCGUGCAGAAGCGGGAAUAAACUAUAAGACGAGAAGACCUAUGGAGCUUCAAACUAAGUCACAUUUGCUUUACUCUCUACCCUCCCCAGAGAAGUCAUAAACAUUUUAACAAAUGUGAUAGUUUUCGGUUGGGGUGACCGCGGAGCAGAAAAAAACCUCCACAUUGAAAGGAGUUUAAUCCUAAGCCAAGAGCCACAACUCUAAGCAUCAAUAAAACGACAUUAAUUGACCCAAUAUAUUGAUCAACGAACCAAGUUACCCUAGGGAUAACAGCGCAAUCCACUUCAAGAGCUCCUAUCGACAAGUGGGUUU